rnacentral:siRNA from 1 species
AGGACCGAGUGCCGCUCACGC